GUGAGUAGUUCAGAGUUUGAUCCUGGCUCAGGAUGAACGCUAGCGACAGGCUUAACACAUGCAAGUCGAGGGGCAGCGAGGGAGUGCUUGCACUUCUGUCGGCGACCGGCGCACGGGUGAGUAACACGUAUGCAACCUGCCCUUGUCAGAGGGAUAAGCGAGGGAAACCUCGUCUAAUACCGCAUAUAUGGUUUUGAGGCAUCUCUUAAUCAGGAAAGAAUUAUCGGACAAGGAUGGGCAUGCGGGACAUUAGGUAGUUGGGGGUGUAACGGACCACCAAGCCGACGAUGUCUAGGGGUUCUGAGAGGAAGGUCCCCCACACUGGUACUGAGACACGGACCAG
rnacentral:rRNA from 1 species